UACGUAGGGUGCAAGCGUUGUCCGGAAUUAUUGGGCGUAAAGAGCUCGUAGGCGGUCUGUUGCGUCCGCUGUGAAAACUCGGGGCUUAACCCCGAGCCUGCAGUGGAUACGGGCAGACUAGAGGUAGGUAGGGGAGAAUGGAAUUCCCGGUGUAGAGGUGAAAUUCGUAGAUAUUGGGAAGAACACCGGUGGCGAAGGCGGCUAUCUGGACCGACAUUGACGCUGAGGCGCGAAAGCGUGGGGAGCAAACAGG
rnacentral:rRNA from 1 species